AUGACCCUUGCGCCUCCCAGGCCUAUCCCCUUCCCUGCAGAUUCUGCAGCCUUCGACCCCAUGGACGCCACACAUCCGUUGCAAGCAAUCUUCUACUUCCCCAUCGGAGGCCUGCCUCACAGUCUCUUCGAACUUCCUUCCCCGUCGGCGGCCUACCUCACAAUCUCUUCGACACUUCCCUCCCGCCUACCUCACAAUCUCUUCGACACUAACCUCCCUGUCCUCCUGCAUCCCUGGCUUGGCCCGCUCCUUGCAUUGCCACCGACGACCCCGCGGACGCAGCACAUGCCGUUGUUGAUAAUCAGGCUUCACAAUAAGGAGAAUAGGGUUAAUUAG
rnacentral:rRNA from 1 species